rnacentral:lncRNA from 1 species
CAAGAACAAAAUGUUUCCAGUUUGGCUGAAGAUGCCAACAAUCAACUUGAAGAAAUCAAAGAGAGGAUCACAGAGUCUCCUUGUAAGCCAGACCUCUCCUGUUGCUAACACGAAUUAUUCUAAGGUUCAGGCAAACGAGACCUUAGCUGAGGUAAGAAAAACAGCGCCUCAGCUAAGUGAGACGCUGGCUAAGGUCACCAAGGCUCCUGUAUCUGCUGGCCCACUGGAGAUGCCACAGGAAGAAGAGACUGUAGGGUGCUGUUUCUUCAGGAUGCCAAAAUUCAAGUUCUCCUUCAAGGUGGAGUUCAGUUUCUAUACGAGAUGUUAUUGUAAUUUUAGACAUUGUUUGUACUAA